AUUGAACGCUGGCGGCAUGCCUUACACAUGCAAGUCGAACGGUAACGCGGGGCAACCUGGCGACGAGUGGCGAACGGGUGAGUAAUGCAUCGGAACGUGCCCAGUUGUGGGGGAUAACUGCUCGAAAGAGCAGCUAAUACCGCAUACGACCUGAGGGUGAAAGCGGGGGAUCGCAAGACCUCGCGCAAUUGGAGCGGCCGAUGUCGGAUUAGCUAGUUGGUGGGGUAAAGGCCCACCAAGGCGACGAUCCGUAGCUGGUCUGAGAGGACGACUAGCCACACUGGGACUGAGACACGGCCCAGACUCCUACGGGAGGCAGCAGUGGGGAAUUUUGGACAAUGGACGCAAGUCCGAUCCAGCCAUGCCGCGUGCGGGAAGAAGGCCUUCGGGUUGUAGACUGCUUUUGUACGGAACGAAACGGUCCUGGUUAAUACCCGGGGCUAAUGACGGUACCGUAAGAAUAAGCACCGGCUAACUACGUGCCAGCAGCCGCCGCGGUAA
rnacentral:rRNA from 1 species